GUUUUGGCCAAAGGUCAUCAAAAACUACUUCUAAGGUGCUUCUAGAAUGCUUUGGCCACAAAAAAUCCCAAAAGCCCUCAAAGAAAAUUUAUAGCAAAGGGGUGUUUUUACUAAAAGUAAAAAUAACAGUUAUCCCAAGCAAAACCUUAAAUGUAGUAUAGGCCCCCUAUUUAGAAUCCCCCUUCUUAUCAUUCUCGGUCAAUU
rnacentral:misc_RNA from 1 species